AUACGGAGGAUGCGAGCGUUAUCCGGAUUUAUUGGGUUUAAAGGGUGCGUAGGCGGACGAUUAAGUCAGCUGUGGAAUGCCCGCGCUUAACGCGGGAAGUGCAGUUGAUACUGGUUGUCUGGAGUGCCGUUGCCGUGGGGGGAAUGUGUAGUGUAGCGGUGAAAUGCAUAGAUAUUACACAGAACGCCGAUUGUGAAGACACCUCACGAAGCGGUAACUGACGCUGAGGCACGAAAGCGUGGGGAUCGAACAGGAUUAGAUACCCUGGUAGUCCGCACAGUAAACGAUGAAUACUUGUUUUCGGCGAUAUAAUGUCGGAGGCAAAGCGAAAGCGAUAAGUAUUCCACCUGGGGAGUACGCCGGCAACGGUGAAACUCAAAUGAAUUGGCGGGG
rnacentral:rRNA from 1 species